rnacentral:rRNA from 1 species
UACGAAGGGGCUAGCGUUGCUCGGAAUCACUGGGCGUAAAGGGUGCGUAGGCGGGUCUUUAAGUCAGGGGUGAAAUCCUGGAGCUCAACUCCAGAACUGCCUUUGAUACUGAAGAUCUUGAGUUCGGGAGAGGUGAGUGGAACUGCGAGUGUAGAGGUGAAAUUCGUAGAUAUUCGCAAGAACACCAGUGGCGAAGGCGGCUCACUGGCCCGGUACUGACGCUGAGGUGCGGAAAGCGUGGGGAGCAACAGGG